rnacentral:rRNA from 1 species
GACGAACGCUGGCGGCGUGCUUAACACAUGCAAGUCGAACGGAAAGGCCCUGCUUUUGUGGGGUGCUCGAGUGGCGAACGGGUGAGUAACACGUGAGUAACCUGCCACUGCCUUUGGGAUAACUUCAGGAAACUGGGGCUAAUACCGGAUAGGAGCUCCUGCUGCUUGGUGGGGGCUGGAAAGUUUCGGCGGUUGGGGAUGGACUCGCGGCUUAUCAGCUUGUUGGUGGGGUAGUGGCUUACCAAGACUUUGACGGGUAGCCGGGCUGGGAGGGUGACCGGCCACGUUGGGACUGGGCUACGGCCCAGCCUCGUAUGGUAGGCAGGGGUGGGGAGUAGUGCACUAUGGGCUGAAGCCUGAUGCAGCCACGCCGCGUGCGGGGUGACGGCCUUCGGGUUGUAAUGCGCUUUCGCCUGUGACGAAGCGUGAGUGACGGUAAUGGGUAAAGAAGCACCGGCUAACUACGUG